CCAGGUCUCUUCUUCAGCCCUUGGACACAGUGUCAUCCCUAUUGGAGUCAAUAAAGGAGAACGGAAAGAGAGAUUCAAGACACACAAAGAGGAUAAACAUGGAGUUGAAGGCCAUGUGAAGAUGGAAGCAGAGACUGGAAUGAUGCAUCACCAUCAAGAAUUGCUGGCACCCACAAGAAGCUAGGAGAGAGGCGUGGGACAGAUUCUCCCUCUAAACCUCCAGAAGAAACCAACUCUGCUGACACUGUGAUUUCAGACUUCUGGUCCUCACAACUGUGAGAGAAUUCAUUUCUGUUGCUAUAAGCCACCAAAUUUGUGGUAACUUGUUCUGCAGCCUUAGGAAAUUAACACAUUUGGUGUGUUAAUUAGGUUGAUAAUUAGGUCAACUUCCCAUAAGUGAAAGCCUGUGGGAAUGUUGGGCUAAGAGACCUAUUUCUGAUUUCUGGCUCCACAACUUAUUAGUUUGUGGUCAUAAACAUUUAACCUCUGUGAACCUCAGUUUUCUUAUCUGUAGAAUGGGCUUCCUUGAAGGAGCCUUCUCCUGAAUCCAGUCUGUAAAAAACUUUUGUUCUCUAGGCAAACUUUCCCUUUAUC
rnacentral:lncRNA from 1 species